rnacentral:rRNA from 1 species
CCUACGGGUGGCAGCAGUGGGGAAUAUUGCACAAUGGGGGAAACCCUGAUGCAGCGACGCCGCGUGAGUGAAGAAGGCUUUCGGGAUGUAAAGCUCUAUCAGCAGGGAAGAAACUGACGAUACCUGAUUACGAAGCCCCAGCUAACUACGUGCCAGCAGCCGCGGUAAUACGUAGGGGGCAAGCGUUAUCCGGCUGUACUGGGUGUUAAGGGAGCGUAGUCGGCAGAACAAGUCUGGAGUGAAAAGCCGGGGCUUAACCCCGGAACUGCUUUGGAAACUGUGCAGCUAGAGUUCAGGAGAGGUAAGUGGAAUUCCUAGUGUAGCGGUGAAAUGCGUAGAUAUUAGGAGGAACACCAGUGGCGAAGGCGGCUUACUGGACUGUAACUGACGUUGAGGCACGAAAGCGUGGGGAGCAAACAGGAUUAGAUACCCGAGUAGUC